rnacentral:rRNA from 1 species
GUGGGGAAUCUUCCGCAAUGGACGAAAGUCUGACGGAGCAACGCCGCGUGAGUGAAGAAGGUUUUCGGAUCGUAAAGCUCUUUCGUUAGGGACGAACGUGCUCUUUGUGAAUAAUGAGGAGUAAUGACGGUACCUAAAUAAGAAGCCACGGCUAACUACGUGCCAGCAGCCGCGGUAAUACGUAGGUGGCAAGCGUUGUCCGGAAUUAUUGGGCGUAAAGCGCGCGCAGGCGGGAUAUCAAGUCUGUCUUAAAAGUGCGGGGCUCAACCUCGUGAGGGGACAGAAACUGGUAUUCUUGAGUGUCGGAGAGGAAAGUGGAAUUCCAAGUGUAGCGGUGAAAUGCGUAGAGAUUUGGAAGAACACCAGUGGCGAAGGCGACUUUCUGGACGAUGUCUGACGCUGAGGCGCGAAAGCUAGGGGAGCGAACGGGAUUAGAAACCCUAGUAGUCC